ACUCCUACGGGAGGCAGCAGUGGGGAAUAUUGGACAAUGGGCGCAAGCCUGAUCCAGCCAUGCCGCGUGUGUGAAGAAGGCCUUCGGGUUGUAAAGCACUUUUGUCCGGAAAGAAAAGCUUCGGGUUAAUACCCCGGGGUCCUGACGGUACCGGAAGAAUAAGCACCGGCUAACUUCGUGCCAGCAGCCGCGGUAAUACGAAGGGUGCAAGCGUUACUCGGAAUUACUGGGCGUAAAGCGUGCGUAGGUGGUUUGUUAAGUCUGAUGUGAAAGCCCUGGGCUCAACCUGGGAAUGGCAUUGGAUACUGGCGAGCUAGAGUGCGGUAGAGGGUAGUGGAAUUCCCGGUGUAGCAGUGAAAUGCGUAGAGAUCGGGAGGAACAUCUGUGGCGAAGGCGACUACCUGGACCAGCACUGACACUGAGGCACGAAAGCGUGGGGAGCAAACAGGAUUAGAUACCCUGGUAGUCCACGCCCUAAACGAUGCGAACU
rnacentral:rRNA from 1 species